rnacentral:lncRNA from 1 species
UCUAAUUAUCUCCCACUAUUUUAUUAGAUACCAUAGCCCUCACCUAUGGCAAGCGAGAAAUUUAUUUGUUUCUUAAUGAGGUUAAGAUCCUAAUUCUUCAUAAAAGUCUUGUGGUUGCACAACAAAUUUUUAAUGAGUUCAUAAGUAGAAAACUCUUUCCAAUUGCUAGGGCUGGAAGUGGGCUCGGGCCUCGGGGCUGGAAGUGGGCUCGGACCGGCCCGAGGCCCAUCAGGCCGGGUCGGCUUUAAGUUGGACUUCGGGUCCGAUCCGAAAUCAUUCAGGUCGGACUAGGACCUGAUUUUAGGGCCCAUUUUAUUUUCGGGCUGGGCUCGAGCAGACCAUUGGCCCGGUCUGAAUGGCAAUCCGAUUAAAAUCCUUCUUCGGUUCUUCCAUCCC